rnacentral:rRNA from 1 species
CCUACGGGAGGCAGCAGUGAGGAAUAUUGGUCAAUGGACGCGAGUCUGAACCAGCCAAGUAGCGUGAAGGAUGACUGCCCUAUGGGUUGUAAACUUCUUUUAUAAAGGAAUAAAACGAGGCACGUGUGCCUUUUUGCAUGUACUUUAUGAAUAAGGAUCGGCUAACUCCGUGCCAGCAGCCGCGGUAAUACGGAGGAUCCGAGCGUUAUCCGGAUUUAUUGGGUUUAAAGGGAGCGUAGAUGGGUUGUUAAGUCAGUUGUGAAAGUUUGCGGCUCAACCGUAAAAUUGCAAUUGAUACUGGCAUUCUUGAGUACAGUUGAGGUAGGCGGAAUACGUGGUGUAGCGGUGAAAUGCUUAGAUAUCACGAAGAACCCCGAUUGCGAAGGCAGCUUACUAAACUGUUACUGACAUUGAUGCUCGAAAGUGUGGGUAUCAAACAGGAUUAGAUACCCCAGUAGUC